GCCAGGUGUGGUGGCACACACCUGUAAUCCCAGCAGCUCAGGAAGCUGAGGCAGGAGGAUUGUGAGUUCAAAGCCAGCCUCAGCAAUGGCGAGGCACUUAGCAACUCAGUGAGACCCUGUCUCUA
rnacentral:sRNA from 1 species